UUUGAAGGAUUUUAAAUAGGUAAUUGUUGGUAAGAACACAGAUCCUGUGUCACUGCAGUUACUCGUCUACUGAGUGGAGACGCAUAAAGCAAGGAGGUCACAGAGUAUGAAACCCACUGGAACAAAUGACUCCGACUCCCAGCCAGAGGAACUCAAAAGGUCUCUGCUUUCAGCAGCAGGUUCUGCUGCCAGCUUCUGUCUCCACAUCUCCUAAAUCAAGGUAGGCUUCUGCACUGCCAAAAGCACUGGACAAAAAGCAGAAUGA
rnacentral:lncRNA from 1 species